ACACAAACUCAAGCAAAUUAAGAACAAGACAAUGAAAAGCUCUUCACCAAAAUUUGCUCUCCUUUUCCUUCUCUUGAUCCUCAUUGCAGGUAAGAGUGAAAACUAUAAAUCAUAUUCGUAACCAUUUAGAAUUUAAUUAGUUGCAUCUCCUAACAACUCGAGUUAGCAAUCAACUCAUAUAGCAAUUUCUAAUCACCUCCAUCCCUAAAAUACUUUAACAAUAUUUCAAAAAGUAAUUUUUUAAGGAAAAUGUUAAUUAAUAAGUACUCUUACGUCCUUAAUAAUUUUCUAAAUGAAAUGACACAUCACCCUCCAUUUUAUUUAGCGAUUGCUAAAAAUAUAUCGAUGGAGAUAUUCCAAGUAUUAUAACUAAUUUAUUAAGAUCAGGAUUAUUUUAACUAUAUGUUAUUUCAAUUUUUUUUAAUAUAUACAGUGUAAUUAUACCUGAGAUAGACAGUAACGUAAAUGGAAAUGGUUGCAUGCAUGCAGGAGAUGAGAUAAUUAGCGCACGGAAAUACACGGUGACGAAAGUGGGGGAGUGCGAGUGCGAGAUAUGCACAUGUAAUAAUGAUGGGGUAUGUACGUGUGCUGGACAAGUAGCAGUGAUGGGCAAUGAUGACGACCAGCACCUUUUAUCAAAGGAUAAGGAUGAAGUUAAAAUUAGUAAUUGAUCAAACUUUGUAAAUUAUGAAGUUAAUAAAAAUUGGUUAUUGGGUGAUAUUGAAUAAAUGAAUUAUAGUUUGUAAUUUUAUUUCCGGUGGGAAGAUUUUGUAGUAAAAUAAAUUGGAUAUUUGGUGUUUUUAACUUUUUUAAUUGGCGAAUUCAAGCUAUGAUAUAUUUAAUUUGUCCGCAAUUAUAUGCAAUGAUAAGAAGAUGAUCAUAUUCGAUAUUUGAUACACCUCCUCCUCCUCUUGGGUGAACUGAAGGUACUUGUAGAGUCUAAUGUUACAAUUCCGACCGGUUUGAUCACCGUCGUUAAUUAUAUAUAUACCGUCAUUUCAGGUUUAACGGUGGCGAACGUGUCGGAGAGCCGAGGACGACAACAAUGCUAUAGGGACAUCGAUUGCGCAUUCUAUUGUGCGAAACUCCAUCAAGGGAUUGCUCUCUGCAACUACAAAACUGGCUACUGCAUUUGUCUGCCUCCUCUUGCCCCCCUAUUCCGGAUAUCGUUAGGGACUCGUGUUUGUGUGAGUAUUUUGGGAGAACGGAAAUUUGAAAUAGUAAGAGAUUCGAAAUGGUUAUUGUUUUUUCAGAAGAUUUGUAAUAAUAAAUGCAAACUGGAUUUAUGUACAGAAAAUAAUUGAAAGAAAAAUUAAGACUUUUGAGUUUUUGACAGGUUUUUUUCAACAAAAGGGAAGGAAUCCAUGGCAUUUAACAAAAGAAAAGGAACCAUCACCUUCUUCAUUCAAAGGAGAAGGGAGAUCUGAAAGUGCAUAAUUCAACAACUUUUGCCAAUUAGAAAUUCAGUAUUAAUGAAUUAAUCAACGAGCGCGAUACAGUGGAGGCUCAACUCAUGUCGAUUUCGAAAUUCUCCAUGGGUACAUCUAGUUAAGACUAUUUGUUAGACCGGAAAUUCUGUGCAUUAAAUCAAUACACAGAAUUCACAAAAAUUUCAAAUUUCGCAAGAACCUCUAUCCGAGUUAAUUAAUGCACGAUAUCCACUGCAUUUAUUUCACCAAAUUACUUAGGUAGCAUGCAAUCAAUACAUUUAAUUAUUUUUCUCUUCCCAUUUAAUUUUAUUUUGGAACAUAACUCCUAUAUAACGAAGCACAUCCACUUAAUUAUCACAGUUCACACAAGCUCAAGCAAAGAGCAACACAAUGACAAACUCUUCAACAAAAUUUGCUCUCGUUUUCCUUUUCUUGAUCGUCAUUGCCGGUAAGCGUGAAAACUCUGUCUCAUUUCUUUCUUUGCUACAAAAGGAUUCAACGAAAUGUAUUACAUGUCGUGAUCAGCUCUUUUAAUCAAUCCGUUUGGAUCGGAGUUAGAAGCGAUAAUAAAAUCAACUUGUAUUGCAGGAGAGAUAAACGCACAGAAGUACCCGCCCACGGGCGAGAAAUGUGGCGUGAAGGGAGAUUGCAAGGGAGGAGUUUACUGCGUGUGUGAUAAGGGGAAAUGCUAUUGCUCUACUGCCCAUGAUGAGCCCUCUUUUAUCAAAGGAGAAGCAAGAUCAUAGUAAAAAUAAUUGUGUGAUCAUAUAACUAAUAAAUUAAGCUAGCUUGUUGUUGGGAGAUUUUGAAUAAAAUAAAUUAUAAUUAUAACUCGUCAAUCGAAAAUAAUCGAAACAAAUAUCUAUAAGUAUUUCAUUCCACCUUAUUGCCUUUUUAUAUCGAAAGAA
rnacentral:lncRNA from 1 species